UGGGGAAUAUUGCACAAUGGAGGGAACUCUGAUGCAGCGACGCCGCGUGAACGAAGAAGGCUUUCGAGUCGUAAAGUUCUUUUAUAUGGGAAGAUAAUGACGGUACCAUAAGAAAAAGCCCCGGCUAACUACGUGCCAGCAGCCGCGGUAAUACGUAGGGGGCUAGCGUUGUCCGGAAUCACUGGGCGUAAAGGGUUCGCAGGCGGAAAUGCAAGUCAGGUGUAAAAGGCAGUAGCUUAACUACUGUAAGCAUUUGAAACUGCAUAUCUGGAGCAGCGUAGAGGUAAGUGGAAUUUUUAGUGUAGCGGUGAAAUGCGUAGAUAUUAAAAAGAAUACCGGUGGCGAAGGCGGCUUACUGGGCUCAUUCUGACGCUGAGGAACGAAAGCGUGGGUAGCAAACAGG
rnacentral:rRNA from 1 species